CGCACAUUGCGCUCCCUGGUAUUCCUAGGAGCAUGUCUGUCCGAGCGUCAGUACACACCCUCCGUCAACCUCUUUGCUGGGGUUCGAUCGGGUCCUGAGCGGUGGGAGCCAUCCGUGGCCUCGCCCUCUAAAGUGGAAAGCCAGCGGCCCGCCUGCCCAUGAAAGACGUAGUAAUAUCUCAAUGAAUCGUCCGCGAAAGGGUUGUAGGUUGGACUCGCCUCAAAUCUUUACUCAUCAAGGUUUGACCUCGGAUCAGACAAGAAUACCCGCUGAACUUAA
rnacentral:misc_RNA from 1 species